UGCCCCCAGAAACAUAAAAUUAGGGGUAGGAUCUGCCCGAUGAUUAAAUUUGAAUGGCCGCGGUAUUUUGACUGUGCGAAGGUAGCAUAAUCAAUCGCCCUUUAAUUGAGGUCUGGAAUGAAUGAUUUAAUGAGAGGUUUUCUGUUUCUUUAAAAUUAACAAAUUUUUAAGGCAGGUGAAGAUACUUGUAUGUUUUUAAAAGACGAGAAGACCCUAUAAAGUUUAAUAUUGUUCGUGAAUAUUUUUUAUUACUUGUGAUAUUUAGUUGGGGCAACUAUGGGAUAAUAUAAACUUCUUACUUAGUAAAAUAUAUAUAAGUAUAUUUGUUUAAAGAUCCAAAAUUUUGAUUAAUAGAAAAAAUUACUUUAGGGAUAACAGCGUAAUUCGUUUUUAGAGUUCUUAUCGAUGAACGGGAUUGCGACCUCGAUGUUGGAUUAAGAUACCUUAAUUAGUGCAGGUGUUAUUAGGGGUAGUCUGUUCGACUAUAAAAUUCUUACA
rnacentral:rRNA from 1 species